rnacentral:rRNA from 1 species
UACGUAGGGGGCAAGCGUUGUCCGGAAUCAUUGGGCGUAAAGAGCGCGUAGGCGGCCCUGUAAGUCCGCUGUGAAAGUCAAGGGCUCAACCUUGGAUGCCGGUGGAUACUGCGGGGCUAGAGUGCGGAAGGGGCAACUGGAAUUCUCGGUGUAGCGGUGAAAUGCGUAGAUAUCGAGAGGAACACCUGCGGCGAAGGCGGGUUGCUGGGCUGACACUGACGCUGAGGAGCGAAGCGUGGGAGCGAACAGG